rnacentral:misc_RNA from 1 species
GUUCUAGGAUUCAUUUCACUGCUCCUUACUUUUGGGCAGACAUACAUUAUCAAAAUAUGUAUUCCCCAGAAUGUUGCAGACACUAUGUUGCCAUGCCGAGCUGAUGGUGAAAAUGACCAAACUGAAGAACAUCGUCGAAGGCUUUUGUGGUUUGAGCAUAGAUUUCUAGCAGGUGCUGAAACCACUAGUAAAUGCAAAACGGGGUAUGAACCGCUUAUAACAGUUGACGGAUUGCAUCAGUUACACAUCCUCAUAUUCUUCUUAGCAGUCUUCCAUGUGUUAUAUAGUUUAACUACAAUGAUGCUUGGAAGACUAAAGAUUCGUGGUUGGAAGGAAUGGGAGCAGGAGACUUCAUCCCAUGAUUAUGAGUUUUCAAAUGAUCCUUCAAGAUUCAGGCUUACUCAUGAGACCUCUUUUGUGAGAGCGCAUACUAGUUUCUGGACUAGAAUUCCUUUCUUCUUCUAUAUUGGAUGCUUCUUCCGACAAUUUUUUAGGUCUGUUAGCAAAGCUGAUUACCUGACAUUGCGGAAUGGAUUUAUCACAGUCCAUUUAGCUCCUGGAAGUAAGUUUAACUUUCAAAAAUACAUCAAAAGGUCAUUAGAGGAUGAUUUCAAGGUUGUUGUGGGAGUAAGUCCAAUUUUGUGGGCAUCCUUUGUCAUUUUCCUGCUCCUAAAUGUGAAAGGAUGGCAAGCAUUAUUUUGGGCUUCUACGAUCCCUGUGAUUAUAAUCUUAGCUGUUGGGACAGAGCUUCAAGCUAUUCUGACAAUGAUGGCUCUUGAAAUUUCAGAAAGACAUGCAGUGGUACAAGGAAUGCCUCUUGUGCAAGGCUCAGACAAAUAUUUUUGGUUCGGUCGGCCUCAGUUAGUUCUUCAUCUUAUCCAUUUUGCUUUAUUUCAGAAUGCUUUCCAAAUAACAUAUUUCCUGUGGAUAUGGUAUUCAUUCGGAUUAAAAUCUUGCUUCCAUGCCAAUUUCAAGCUUGCUAUAGCAAAGGUUGCUUUAGGGGCUGGGGUCUUAGUUCUCUGCAGCUACAUUACACUUCCAUUAUAUGCCCUUGUAACUCAGA